rnacentral:tRNA from 1 species
GCAUCGGUGGUUCAGUGGUACAAUGCUCGUCUGCCACGCGAGAGGCCCGGGUUCGAUUCCCGGUCGAUGCA